UUGCCGUAACAGGCCACAUUUCUUGUCAUAAGAGGCGACUAGCAGGAUCGGGUGGUCAGGCUCGCCGACUUGGUUGAUGCAUGUCAUCGUAUCCCAAUUGCGUUGAUCAAUCCCUGGAUUGUCUGGUCCAGACUCGAUUAUUUACAGACCGCCGUCAUAUAGCUGGAAUAUUGCUGAGUGCGGCGUUAAACAACUAACAAACAAUAGAAGUGGGUAGCUGGGUUUGCCUACACCAAUGUAGAACUUGUUCUUGUCAUUCAUGGCCGUGAUAUGGCUGGAAUGUAUACAUAGAGUGGCUUGGAACAUUACUCACUUAUUUGAUAGAAUAUCGCUGGGUAUAGGCUAAGGGGAAUUCAUUUUUAAAGUCAUCAAAAUAUUGUUUAGGCUAUAAAAAUAAAUAUAUAAUUGGUUCUCAGGCAAUGGCUUUUGAAAAUAUAGUGUGGGCAGGCAGUGUUUUUGUUGUUCCAACUAGUAUGUAACCAAAUAGACUGAUGUGUAGCCAGGUAAACAGUUGUGGGAAAGGUCCUCCCUACCGAAAUGGAUUUCUUGAAGAGUAAAAUACUGGAAUACAGUAUUUGACUACCGUUUGACUUGGAAUAUUUAAGGAAUUUUUGGGUUUUUAAAAAAAAAUUGAAAUAAAAAAUGAAACGUGCUGCAAACUUUGUGAUGAUGCGGGCUAUGCCUGAGAACCAAGACUAUUUGGGGGGGGGGGGGGGGGCUUACAUUAAGGUCAAUUGAAAUAUUGGUUUCUUGACUAUUGAAAUGUAGAUUUUGUAAAGUGACAUAUAGAUUUUGUUUAUUACAGUUUAUGUAUUUAAUACUUUGCCUACUUAGUGGAUUUACCUAUUUUCUAAGGUCUUUUCAAAUACUAUUUCCUGUUUUUCUGGUGCUAUCGGAAGGGUAUAACUGUAUUGUACUAUUUUUCAUUGAAAAUAGAAAACUGUCUGCUGUGAACAGUUUGUAGAAUAUGCUAUUAUUAUUUGUGCCAUGAAUCUGUAGAAUUCCAUCAUGUAGAUGUGCCCGACCAGGGUUGCACAGGGAUACAAAUUGAGUCUGUAGUUUGGAAAACACAUUCAUGACUUGUAUCCUGGUUGGAGGCCCGAUCUCCGCCCAUCACUGCACCUGUUCCCUGUUUAUACUGGAUGUUGACCGGAAAAAUGUGGCUUGGACUGGUUUAUUGGAGGGCUAUUGGUCCGUGGCCAGUAGAAAAAUGGAAUACCAUUAUGUGAUCUCUACUUCAUUAAUCUGUAACGUUGUAAAUAAAUUCAGAUUGAUUAUGAAAAAAACUUGCAAUGAUUUCUGUGUGAAGGAGUGGCCAUGUUGGAUUUAGUUAGUUAGUUCUAUUCAAGUCCUGAGCCACCAUCAAUGAACAUUUCUUGCGAACCCUGCAGUCAAGCACCAGCUACAUGCUGUUUCAAGCUGCCUAUUGAACAUGAUGAAGUCAGCACAGUAACAUAUUCACCAUACUAAGUGCACCAGGUUCUUACCUUGUGUAUGAUUUUAACCAGAGAUCAAGUGGAAGAGAACUAAAACGCUUUUGAUGAUACACCUGUAGUUGCUUGGCAGACAUGCAGCCCCUUGCCACUGCUGUACUUUCUGUGAACAGAUCUGCGACAUUCACGAGACAAUAGAGAUUGUCAGUGUGUACCGAGCACAUGUAAAGAUUACUUACAGAUUCAUCUAGAAGUAAGUCAGGGGGUGCCUAUUGGAGCGGUACUUUUCAAAUUAAUUGUCGCUGUGUUAGUCCAUGAUCAUGUGAGCAAACUAUUGCAAUUUUUGCAAAAAAUUCAUCAGGUAUUGAAAUCUUUAAUAUACAGUAAACUACCUUUAUAACGAACUGGUGGAGUAACGAACUGUAUAUGUUGUGUAUAUGCUUAUAUAAACGAACGUUUAUACGAAACUAAAACUAGUGGUCCCUUUGAGUUUGCUGUAAGCGUAGUUUACUGUAUAUGGAGGUCUGUUGGACAGAACAUACAAAAUGUGUUUCGGACAUCUCAGAAAUUGUAGGCAGAAAACAGAUAGAAGAAUAUUGUGACAACUUGCUAAUAGUAUUUGGGACACACGUUUUAUUAUGUGUCAGUCAAAUUGUGGCAAGAAGGGCUGAUAACUCCGUCUGGACUUAAGAAAAUUGGAUUUAUCCUCUGUACUCUAGCUAGAGAAUUAAGAUAUAUGGAAAAAGUAAUCUUAUGACUCUAUGUCUGUGCUUUGUUUUAUGUUGUGAGAACCGAGAAGGGUUUGUCUUUUAGUGGUGGAGUGUGUUUUUGUCUAGCUUGCUGCUAUGUCCUGUCAUGGCCAACACCACCGCUGCUGCUGCUGCUGCAUGCGCCGUUACGGAAGACGCCAUUUCUACUACAUGUAUUGUGAGAGUGUUGUCCUCCUAUUGUUACCACAUCGUGGUUUGUAUGACGUUCUAGAUUAUAGGUUGUCGAUGCCGUACCCAGUAUACUCUCAUUCUAUAUGGCACCUAAAUUCAAUCUAUUUUAAUAAAAUACAAUCCAAUAUUGA